CCUACGGGAGGCAGCAGUGAGGAAUAUUGGUCAAUGGACGAGAGUCUGAACCAGCCAAGUCGCGUGAAGGAUGACUGCCCUAUGGGUUGUAAACCUCUUUUGUCAGGGAACAAAACGCGGCACUCGUCCCUUUUUGCAUGUACCCUAUGAAUAAGGAUCGGCUAACUCCGUGCCAGCAGCCGCGGUAAUACGGAGGAUCCGAGCGUUAUCCGGAUUUAUGGGGUUUAAGGGGUGCGCAGAGGGGUUUUUAAGUCGGCGGUGAAAUUUCGGGGCUCAACCCAAACGAGCCGUUGGAACUGGGGGUCUUGAGUGCGGUGGAGGUAGGCGGAAUGCGUGGUGUAGCGGUGAAAUGCAUAGAUAUCGCGAAGAACCCCGAUUGCGAAGGCAGCGUACCGAGCCGCGACUGACGCUGAGGCACGAAAGCGUGGGUAUCGAACAGGAUUAGAUACCCCGGUAGUC
rnacentral:rRNA from 1 species